rnacentral:sRNA from 2 species
ACUAUCGCCGACAGAAAUUUGCUCCGGAUGCGGAAAACCCGAUGAUGCUAUUUUUGCGAAGUUUCUCUUUUUCUUUGCCCUCUUCUUUAUUUUAUUUUUAUGCCCUUUGCGAAAAUGGUGCAAAGGAACAAUGUUGGAGGGCGAAGAGAAGAAGUGAAGGAAUUGGAGCUUGCAAAGCUUCAGGCCGCGGAUAGAUGGAGCUGUUGCAAUUACCCGCUCUUGUAUAUGACAGCUUCACUCAAUAUCUGACAGGGUCCGCAAGAACAGUGGUUCAGACUCAUGCAGCAGGUUAGGGAACUGAUCUAAACAAGCUUAGCAAUCAGAACCUUGUUAAUUUAAAGCGAAGGGAAACAACGCAGGUACUACUAGUGUGCAUGGACUGGCGG